GGCUCAAUGGUAGACCAUUGGGCUCAAAAACCAAUGGUCAUGGGUUCGAUUCCCAG
rnacentral:tRNA from 1 species